rnacentral:misc_RNA from 1 species
GAUGAGAACGUAGCGAAAUGCGAUAAGUAGUGUGAAUUGCAGAAUUCAGUGAAUCAUCGAGUCUUUGAACGCACAUUGCGCCCCCUGGUAUUCCGGGGGGCAUGCCUGUCCGAGCGUCAUUGCUGCCCUCAAGCACGGCUUGUGUGUUGGGCCCCCGCCCCCCGGCUUCGGGGGGCGGGCCCGAAAGGCAGCGGCGGCACCGCGUCCGGUCCUCGAGCGUAUGGGGCUUCGUCACCCGCUCUGUAGGCCCGGCCGGCGCCCGCCGGCGACCCCAAUCAAUCUUUCCAGGUUGACCUCGGAUCAGGUAGGGAUACCCGCUGAACUUAAGCAUAUCAAUAAGCGGAGGA